AUUCAAUUCAAUUUGAUAUUCUAAUUCCUCUCGCUCUCUAUUAUUCAGAACUCAGCAAUCCUUUCUUGAUCCUCUUUCAAUCCCAAAUAUUUUUCGAUUGAUUUGCCUGAUUCAAAAUUUCCGAUCGAUAAUUUGCCACGCCGCCGUUAGUAUUCGUGCUCGGAGACCGGAGGUCCGUCGAAGCAUCUCAAUUGGACAGAUUAUUUUUAGAUUAUGCAGUGAUACAUACUAUCUCGAAUACCUAUUUUUUCGGAUCUGAGGCUCAUUUUUCUGGUAUUUUGCGGCGCUUUGAGUGUGGAAACAGAUUUUGGGACGGAAAAAAGUGAGAUUGAACUCUUUAGAAAGACACAUGUGAGCAAGUCAAGGGGAGGAGAAUUCAUCAACACAGUUGCUCAAUCUAAAUAUAAUGAGAUGGUUGACUUGAAAAUGAAAGCUGCUGAACACGGCAAAGAAUCACUUGCAGAGCCGGUAAUAGUGAAAUCUGUUCUUGGAUACCGAUCUGGAUACAUUAAAGGAAUGGGACAUGGAGUGCAAGUUCUUCACAAUCGUGAAUCAAAUGUAUUUGCUGGCAUUGAUUUGAAGGAGAAGUUGUUGGAACUAGAAAGUGCGAAGGUAGAGAUUGUCAACCUCACAAAUGCAUAUAGUGAACAGAGGAAAAAGAUGGACAAGAUGGAAAGUGAUAUGGCCAAAAUGCAGGGAAUUUUACAACAUAUUGCAGAUGGACAUGAAGCUCGAGCGUGAGAGGAUUGCAAAAGAGAUUCUUGAAAGGUCGUUGGGGAUGAACAAUGUCUACGUCAAGAAAAUAGAUGAUAGUAUAUAAGUUGUGGUUACAAAUAAAUGACAAAUAAAUCUUUUGUGCCUGCUGUUGGAGCAGGACACAGACUGCAUUCUCUCACCGUGCGAGACACAUAAUUGGGAAGCUCCUACUGUCUGGGUUAUGUUUAUAGUGUAUGAAAAUGUGCUAAAUAUGUUUAAACUGCCUCGAUUAUGAUUAGAGUUUCAUUGUUUUAAACUCAUGUGAUCUUUAUUAACAUGCAUUUCGGUGUAGGUGAUUACAUUUGUAUUCUA